rnacentral:rRNA from 1 species
AGCGAACGCUGGCGGCAUGCUUAACACAUGCAAGUCGCACGGGCAGCAAUGUCAGUGGCGGACGGGUGAGUAACGCGUAGGAACGUGUCCUGAGGUGGGGGACAACCCCGGGAAACUGGGGCUAAUACCGCAUAUGGGCUGAGACCCAACGUCGAGAGGCGCCUUUGGAGCGGCCUGCGUCCGAUUAGCUAGUUGGUGGGGUAAAGGCCUGCCAAGCCUGCGAUCGGUAGCUGGUCUGGGAGGACGACCAGCCACACUGGGACUGGGACACGGCGCAGACUCCUACGGGAGGCAGCAGUGGGGAAUAUGGGACAAUGGGCGAGAGACUAAUCCAGCAAGGCCGCGUGGGUGAAGAAGGUCUUCGGAUCGUAAAGCCCUGUCGACGGGGACGAUGAUGACGGUACCCGUAGAAGAAGCCCCGGCUAACUUCGUG